rnacentral:misc_RNA from 1 species
GAAAUGCGAUAAUUAAUGUGGAUUGCAGAAUUCAGUGAAUCAUCGAGUCUUUGAACGCACAUUGCGCCCCCUGGUAUUCCGGGGGGCAUGCCUGUCCGAGCGUCAUUGCUGCCCUCAAGCACGGCUUGUGUGUUGGGCUUCCGUCCCUGGCAACGGGGACGGGCCCAAAAGGCAGUGGCGGCACCAUGUCUGGUCCUCGAGCGUAUGGGGCUUUGUCACCCGCUCCCGUAGGUCCAGCUGGCAGCUAGCCUCGCAACCAAUCUUUUUAACCAGGUUGACCUCGGAUCAGGUAGGGAUACCCGCUGAACUUAAGC